AUAUAUAUAUAUAUAUAUAGAGAGAGAGAGAGAGAGAGAGAGAGAGAGAGAGUGUUAAGUUAUAAUACUCUUAGAGUGCGUUUUGUUCGCAUUAUGAAAGAUUACUAUGAAUAAAAGAUAUCCGAAAAUUUUAUUCCUAUUCAUCCUAUUACUAAGAAUGUAAAAUUCCUGUAUUUGGUUCGCACGGUAAUAUUAAUUAGCCAUAUUAUUUAAUAUUACAAAAAAUAUACAAUUAAUUAAUUAAUUAAUUUAAUUAAUUUUAGAUAAUGUUACCAAAAGUUUCAACAUCUGUUUAGAAAAAAGGGAGAGAGAGUAUAAGUUAGAGAGAGAGAGCAUAAUUAAAAAAAUAGAAAGAAAAAUAUAGUCGAAUUUAGAGGGAGUGAGAGAGUUGAAAUUUUAGAAAGAGAGAGAGAGAGAGAGAAACCUUAGUUUAGAGAGAGAAAAAAGUUGAAUUUUAGAGAGAAAAAUAAGUUUAGAGAGAGAUAUAAGGUUAGAGUGUAAAGAAAAAUAAGAUCAAUUAACCGGCGGGUAGGAAGAAAGAAAGAGAUUAGACAUAUUAUGAUUACCCCAAUCCAUUAAUAUGAGGAUACCCACCUUCCCUCAAGGGAAUGAGAUUAGUACUUUGGAGUGAAUCUUAUUCCCAAGUGAAUCCAAUAUUACCAACUAGAUUACUUAGCGCGUUUAGCCAAACACCGUCAUAUUUUUUUAUUCCCAUUGGAUUACUAGGUAUCUUUAAAAGAUAACGCGAACCAAACGCACCCUUAAAAGCAUUAAGAGAUUGGUGCUUUUAAGUUUUUAACCAUUGGAUGGAAAAAAUAUAAAGUUGGGAUGAUGAUGGUAGGUGAUAGUAGGUGAAAUAGUGUUUGAUCCAAAGGCUAUUAGUAAUCAAGGAGUAGAUUUAAGGGCUAAAAAUCUAAGCAUCAAGGGCUAGAAUAUUUUCAAAAGCACCAAAAAGGUGGUGCUUUAGCUUUUAAGUGAAGAAAUGUAGGAUUAAGAUGAUGGUGAUAGGUGGUGGUAGGUGGAAUAUUGUUUGAUCUAAAGACUAUUAAUAAUCAAGGAGUAGAUCUAAGGGCUAAAAAUUUAGAAACACCAAGGAGAUGGUGCUUCCAAAAAUAU
rnacentral:lncRNA from 1 species